rnacentral:rRNA from 1 species
CCUACGGGGGGCUGCAGUGGGGAAUAUUGGACAAUGGGGGGAACCCUGAUCCAGCCAUGCCGCGUGUGUGAAGAAGGCCCUCGGGUUGUAAAGCACUUUCAGUGAGGAAGAACGCCUGGUGGUUAAUACCCAUCAGGAAAGACAUCACUCACAGAAGAAGCACCGGCUAACUCUGUGCCAGCAGCCGCGGUAAUACGGAGGGUGCGAGCGUUAAUCGGAAUUACUGGGCGUAAAGCGCGCGUAGGUGGCUUGAUAAGCCGGUUGUGAAAGCCCCGGGCUCAACCUGGGAACGGCAUCCGGAACUGUCCAGCUAGAGUGCCGGAGAGGAAGGUAGAAUUCCCGGUGUAGCGGUGAAAUGCGUAGAGAUCGGGAGGAAUACCAGUGGCGAAGGCGGCCUUCUGGACUGACACUGACACUGAGGUGCGAAAGCGUGGGUAGCAAACAGGAUUAGAUACCCCAGUAGUC